AACGUAGGAGACAAACGUUAUCCGGAGUUACUGGGCGUAAAGGGCGUGCAGGCGGUCUGUUAAGUCUGGCGUGAAAGCUCUCGGCUAAACCGGGAGAGGUCGUUGGAUACUGACGGACUAGAGGACGGUAGAGGCGUGUGGAAUUCCGGGUGUAGUGGUGAAAUGCGUAGAGAUCCGGAGGAACACCAGUGGCGAAGGCGAUACGCUGGGCCGUACCUGACGCUAAGACGCGACAGCAUGGGGAGCGAACGGG
rnacentral:rRNA from 1 species